ensembl:lncRNA
GCAUUUAUAACGGGUGGACCCCCGAAAACACUCGAAAUGGAACUACUGGUUAUUCUUUGGUGAGACAAAGCUCCGACGUGUCCGCGGGGGUUCGAGGCAAAGUUCCCCUGUGCUCUGAAAGGACUUGUGCCGCUGCAACAACAGGUGACGAGGACGGCAGAGCAAUUAAAAUUGUCGGCCACCACAGAGCAACAGAUGGAGACCCCCUGAAUGCGUCCUCUGUCCUUGGACAUAAAAUAUUCCACCGAGGGCAGAAAAGGUCGACGACGGCCACUCGAUUCCUUCCAUAAACUUUAUUGUGCCAACGCAUUGCAGAGACCUGCCUCCGUCCUCUGGGGACACGAAGCCCGCUGACUCCUGAAAGAGGAGCUGUUCUCCGCCUCCACGCGCAGUGAGAGAGAAAACACCUCCCGCUCUCCGACCGUCUCUUCUCGCUCCAUCACCGCCCCGUGGUCGGCAAUUUCACGAGUGAGCUGGCAAUAAUCCCGGGUGACUGGACUCUCACCUUUUCGCUGAGAUCUAUACUGGGAGGCGCCGCCGUGCGCUUGUGAGGCCAUGUGGUCAUGAAGUCAGAGGAAGGAAUCCCGGCUUCUCGGGGGCCUUUUCUGCCUCUGGUACGCUCGCAGGUCGAAGAGAUGACAAAGGACAAUAGGAGAAAGUGCUGUGAUUAUUCAUACAUGUUUUUAAUGGGACUCACCGCUGCACAGAUGCAGUUUGCGCACGUUGUGAUGAUGUUUGUUGGACUGCAAAUAUAAUUUCACACAUCUUGAAAUACUCAAGGAAAGUACUCGCAGGUGUUAAUAAAACGGUUUAACGUCUGCAGUCUGGAUUCAAUUAUUACUCUGCUUGCAUAUUUUUAUUAGGUAUUUUUACAGUUUUUGUGUGUUUUUGAAAGUAAUUCAGCAGACUUUCUUUAAUUUUGUGAAGCCCAAGUGGGAAUUUGUGUCUCCAAAGAGUUCCGCAGGACGGCAUCACCACAACUACACACUGCAGCAACCCGCGAUUCAGUGGAAUCUACUUUCCAGCUCUAGAGAACUGCUUUCACAAGAAUAACUUAUACACACACACACACACACACACACACACAACGAACUGUCUCACUUCUUCUCCCUCAAACUCCUCCAGCGUUAACGCCUCAGUUGUUUUCAUUUGGCUGAUGUAGCCUAGCAACACUAAUUUAAAUUUAUUUGGAUAAAGAGGACAUCGCUCUGUGGGGAUAAUCUCAUUCACACACUAGUGGCUUCAGACGCAUUUGUAAAGAUGACUGUUGUCCCAAAUGAUUAACACAACAUGUGUUAGCAAAGUGUGGUUCUUAGAAAUAUUGUUGCAAUUUUGUGAAUACUAUUGUGCUUUGAAGGUCAAAUUUUUAAAAUUUAAAUGUUAGUUAUUGUGCUGAAAAAUAUGUAAUGAAUGGUGAAAUUGUUUUAGUGGUAAGCUGUAAUUGUUUCUGUAAUUAUUAACACAGUUUUUCACCAACUUACUCAUGAAGUAAUUGGAAUUUACUUUUACUAUUUGUUUCAAACCUUAAUUUCUGUAUUUUUUAUGAUAUGUCUUAAAUGUGGAUGUAACCUGCAAUUAGCUUUUA